rnacentral:misc_RNA from 1 species
GAGAGAGAGAGAGAGAGAGAGCUACAAGCAGCACCUUUUUCUACCUUUUUUGCUCAUAAUGUAUUAAAGUUGGAAACUUUAGGUAUGGGUUCUCGCAAAAUUGUGGAUAGAAUGAUGCAAAUAUUGACAAAAUGGCCAUGUAAUGUGCUUGCAAAUGGCACUACUUUUGCGGCCAAUAUUGAGGCAGAAAUACCAAAACUAAAACUGUAUGAAAAAAAAAAAAUCUAAAGUUUUAAAAUUCUGCAUCAUGUUCAUUCAUCUCCUAAAAUCAAAUCUGAUCUCUGCAAACUCCUAAUUUCAAAUGGAAUUCUAUAGAGAGAGAAAAUACUAUCCUUUAUUGAUACAAUAACAUCUCCACUCUGCAGGCAAAGCUCACAGAUUUCUGCAGAAAUAUAAGCCCGCAAUAACAAGAAAAUUACACAACCAAGAAAAACAAACAACUCCGGACACAGAUACCCAGGAAUCAACCAUCAAAUUUAAACCAAAGAGAAGAAGAAAAAAGAGAAUGUAUACUGAAGAGAUCCUUCCUAAUUAAUCUAACCUCAAAUUGCAGAGCAAGAGAUCCAAGAACCUAGACCAAAAGUGCCUUGCACGUGGA